GGGAAACCGGGGCUAAUACCGGAUGCUUGAUUGAACCGCAUGGUUCAAUUAUAAAAGGUGGCUUUUACCUACCACUUACAGAUGGACCCGCGGCGCAUUACCUAUUUGGUGAGGUAACGGCUCACCAAGGCAACAAUGCGUACCCAACCUGAAAGGGUGAUCGGCCACACUGGGACUGAAACACGGCCCAAACUCCUACGGGAGGCACCAUUAGGGAAUCUUCCCCAAUGGACAAAAGUCUGACGGACCAACGCCCCGUGAGUGAUGAAGGUUUUCGGAUCGUAAAACUCUGUUGUUAGGGAAAAACAAUUACCGUUCGAAUAGGGCGGUACCUUGACGGUACCUAACCAAAAAGCCACGGCUAACUACGUGCCAGCAGCCGCGGUAAUACGUAGNGUNGNGCAAGCGNUUGUNCCGGAAUUAUUGGGNCGUAAAGCGCGCGCAGGCGGUUUNCUUAAGUCUGAUGUGAAAGCCCCCGNGCUNCAACCGGGGAGGGUCAUUGGAAACUGGGGAACUUGAGUGCAGAAGAGGAGAGUGGAAUUCCACGUGUAGCGGUNGAAAUGCGUAGAGNAUNGUGGAGGNAANACNCANGUGGNNCNGAANGGCGNACUCUCUGGUNCUGUAACUGACGCUGANGGCGCGAAAGCGUGGGGANGCGAACAGNGANUUAGAUACCCUGGUNAGNUCCACGCCNGUAAACNGAUGAGUNGCUAANGUGUUAGAGGGUUUCCNGCCNCUUUNAGUGNCUGCAGCAAACGCAUUAAGCACUCCNGCCNUNGGGGAGUANCGGNUCGCAAGANCUGAAACUCNNAAAGGAAUUGNACGNGGGGNCCCGCACAAGCGGUGGAGCAUGUGGUUUAAUUCGAAGCAACGCGAAGAACCUUACCAGGUCUUGACAUCCUCUGACAACCCUAGAGAUAGGGCUUCCCCUUCGGGGGCAGAGUGACAGGUGGUGCAUGGUUGUCGUCAGCUCGUGUCGUGAGAUGUUGGGUUAAGUCCCGCAACGAGCGCAACCCUUGAUCUUAGUUGCCAGCAUUCAGUUGGGCACUCUAAGGUGACUGCCGGUGACAAACCGGAGGAANGGUGGGGAUGACGUCAAAUCAUCAUGCCCCNUUAUGACCNUGGGCUACACACGUGCUACAAUGGGCAGAACAAAGGGCAGCGAAGCCGCGANGGCUAANGCCAAUCCCACAAAUCUNGU
rnacentral:rRNA from 1 species